rnacentral:rRNA from 1 species
AAUGAACGCGUGGCGGCGCGCCUAAUACAUGCAAGUCGAGCGAGAAGACGUAGCAAUACGUUUGUAAAGCGGCGAACGGGUGAGGAAUACAUGGGUAACCUACCCUCGGAGUGGGGAAUAACUAGCCGAAAGGUUAGCUAAUACCGCGUACGCUCCUUGGACUUCGGUUCAGGGAGGAAAGCGAUACCGUGGGUAUCGCGCUCUUGGUUGGGCUCAUGUCCUAUCAGCUUGUUGGUGAGGUAACGGCUCACCAAGGCUUCGACGGGUAGCUGGUCUGAGAGGACGAUCGAACCACACUGGCACUGCGACACGGGCCAGACUCCUACGGGAGGCAGCAGUAAGGAAUAUUGCGCAAUGGGCGAAAGCCUGACGCAGCGACGCCGCGUGGGGGA